rnacentral:rRNA from 1 species
UUUUGAAAGGGAAACGAUUGAAGUCAGUCAUGCCGGCUGGGAAUCAACUUAGGGGAAACUCUGGGUGCACUUCUUCGCUUGGCAGGUCAACGUCGAUUUUGAAUGUCAUAAAAUAAUUGGGGGAAGGUAGCUCCUUCGGGAGUGUUAUAGCCCUUGAUAGAUGUGAUGUUUGGGGUCGAGGAUUGCAACGGAUACCCUUCGGGGCUAGCCGCCUGAUCUCUAAUUGGUGUUGGGUUACGGAUAGCAUGCUGACCGUGAUCUAAUUACUGGUUAAAAGGUUAGAGUGUGCAUAAAUUCGUUAAGGAUGUUGACGUAA